rnacentral:rRNA from 1 species
CGCCUUCAUGAAGUCGGAAUUGCUAGUAAUGGCAGGUCAGCAUACUGCCGUGAAUACGUUCCCGGGCCUUGUACACACCGCCCGUCACACCAUGAGAGUUGGAGAUACCCGAAGCCUAUGAGCUAACUUUUAGAGGCAGUAGUCGAAGGUAGAAUCAAUGAUUGGGGUGAAGUCGUAACAAGGUAUC